ensembl:lncRNA
GGCGGAUCUAGCAAAGUUUAGCCAGGGGGGCCGAUAGGGCAUUAACAGGGAAAAGGGGGCACAAAGACAUACUUUUCUUUCUUAUUCUCAUUUAAAAUGUCUAGCUUUUAAUAAAUAAUUAUCCGAAUCUUACACCGAAAGUUUUAAUUUGAUGUAAAAUGAAUAGAAGUCAAUUACUGUAUAUAGUGACUAUUAAGUCUAAUAUAUAUACCCUAGUAAGCUAUAGUACUUUUUCCUUUGGGAAGGUACCAUCUGUACAGUCUGCAAUUUUGUUGAAGAAAGAUGUUGAAUCUAUUUAAUAUUUCUUGAAAAAUAAUUGAUUUCUGUGCAUUUUUUUUUCACACUGCAUCAAAUUAAGGUUGAUUACGUUGAUUAAGCAUCAUGAGGUGGAGCGUGAGGGGUGGUUCCCUAUUUUUUAUUUAUUUAUUUUUGUUGUUGCUGGGAGUUGGAACCCUAUUAGUUAGGUUGCUUAAUAUUUACGCUAAGUACUCUUUAAAAUACCAGAAUAGGGAGGAUGGUGUAGGUUUAAGUUUAUUAGAUUGAUCAGUAUUGCUGAACUAUAAAUAUUUUUUUUUUUGCAUAUAGGUAUAACAGAAUAGCUUCAGUGUAGUUGUUGUUUUAAACUUGAGUAUGAACUUAUACAAAAUGCAGCAAGAUAUUUUUAAAAAAACAGUUUUAUUGAUUAAAACACACUAUAUCGGAUUCAUAUCGGUAUCGGCAGAUAUCCAAAUUUAUGAUAUCGGUAUCGGUAUCGGACAUAAAAAAGUGGUAUCGUGCCAUCUCUAGUCUAGAUUAGAGAAUUAGCGCAGCUCUGUGUCACCAGCAAGUCUCUAAGAUUUUCUGAUCAGAGUAUCUGAGGUGUUUCUUGCUCCGGGCUCAAAAGAAGACUUUGAAGCAGUAACUUGUAGAAACUUGGGAAGUAUUAUACUUCACUUCACAUUUGUGGAUGGAUUUUAUGUAAUACUUGUAUUUCAUUACCAUUCCAGUAUUUUGUUAUUUUUUUUACGUUACUUACAUAAUGACAGUGAGUCACUGAACAGACUGGUAAGCGUGAAGAUGAUGUGAAUCCCGUAUAACACCAUUUGCUUUCACUGGCAAUGUGUUUCAGAUUCUGUAUUUCCACAGUAUGCUUGCUAUGUUGAUGACGUAGGUGCAUUUACACAAAUAAGUCAGCACAUUCACAUUUCAACUGAUGUACGGUCAUUUUUGUCAUAGCUGCUAAAACAAACCUUAUUUGCCGUCUGUGGUCUGAUCCAACACCGUAGUUGGUGGUAAUAGUAAGAAGGUUCUGUCACUCCUAUCCAGUGUUGGGGAGUAACGGAAUACAUGUACCGCCGUUACGUAUUUAAAAUACAAAAUAUCAGUAACUGUAUUCUGUUACAGUUACCGUUUAAAAAGGUGGUAUUUAGAAUACAGUUACAUUGUUUAAAUAAAUGGAUUACACGGUGGUAUUUCCCAGUUUCAUAUUGUCGCGGGUCAGGACUGUUUGGGUUUUGUUUGACAGCUAUGUUCUGUUGUAACAUGUAACAAACAAAAACUGUUGUGAGCUGCCACCCUUAUAGCGCCUUUGGGCUUUUUGAGCCUUGACCUGACUUUUAAAAAAAUAAUUGGAAAAAAGCACUAUGCUGCUAAAAAAAAAAAAAAAGUACUCAAUUUUCCUCUACAAGGGCCUGAUAUCCACUUACAAGGACAUUAUGCUGCUACUGUUCUAUCAAAAUUUUAAAUGAAUAUCCUCAUAUGUGGCUCUUAGUUUUCCUAAAAACAAAAAUAAGGUAAAAAAAUAAAAUAAAAUCUGGUAAUUCUUUGUUUUUACAUUCAUCGGGUCCCAAUAUGCCCAAAUAUCAAAGAGAAAUUUAAAAUGCAUGCCGUGGAAGAGUUCAGGUCUUAGGAGGUUGAAACUCUUGAGGAAAUUGGAUAAGGUGCUAACAAAAGAAGUGGCAGAUCCCCAAAAAUAUCUACACCUGAGCAGUAUCUUAAGUCUUGGCCUCAAACACCAUGAAAAAAAGCCUGUUUGCAGAAGCCUCAGCAGGAAUGGUCUCAGUGGAAGAGUAGCUGUCAAACUUUUGAAGGAAUGGAAACUGGGAGAAAAGGCAGAAGCAUUCAAAGUUAUACAAGAAAUUGACAGAAAAUCACUGGUAACGAAUUAUAUGGACUGAAUCCAAAUGUGAAACUUUUGAUUCAAAUUGUCAUAUAUGUAUGAAAAUCAGAGCCCUGACCUCAAAACUAUGGAAGCAGUGUGGGAUCAUCUUGACAGAGAAUGGAACAAAAGACAGCCGACAUCCAAAGAGCAGCUUUGAAUGCCCUUGGACUUUCAACUACUCCUGAAGACUACUUGAAGAGGUUA